AUUGAACGCUGGCGGCAUGCCUUACACAUGCAAGUCGAACGGCAGCAUGGGUGCUUGCACCUGAUGGCGAGUGGCGAACGGGUGAGUAAUGCAUCGGAACGUACCCGGAAGUGGGGGAUAACGUAGCGAAAGUUACGCUAAUACCGCAUAUUCUGUGAGCAGGAAAGUGGGGGAUCGCAAGACCUCGCGCUUCCGGAGCGGCCGAUGUCGGGUUAGCUAGGUGGCGGGGUAAGGGCCCACCAAGGCAACGAUCCGUAGCGGGUCUGAGAGGCGGAUCCGCCACACUGGGACGGAGACAAGGGCCAGACGCCUACGGGCGGCAUCGGUGGGGAAUUUUGGACAAUGGGGGCAACCCUGAUCCAGCCAUGCCGCGUGAGUGAAGAAGGCCUUCGGGUUGUAAAGCUCUUUCGGCCGGGAAGAAAUCGCACAGGUUAAUACCUUGUGUGGAUGACGGUACCGGAAUAAGAAGCACCGGCUAACUACGUGCCAGCCGCCGCAGUAAAAC
rnacentral:rRNA from 1 species